UGGCCCUUGAUAAAGUCCUCAUGACCAUGUC
rnacentral:piRNA from 1 species